ensembl:lncRNA
CUCGGCUCCAACCAAUCAGACGCAACCUGUGUAAGCAAAGGAUGAUGGGAGAACGGAGAGACCCGUUUAUAAGAAUAAGAAAAGGAGGCGGAAUUGAUUGAUUCUAAUGCAGAUCAGCAUCAAUGUCCACGUGAAGAACCUAGUUAUGCUGCCAGUGUCAACCCAACAAAAGGCACUUUCACAAUAUAUAAAAGAAGUGUAUGGAACUGAGGUGCUUCCUCAGGUUGUUGGAGGAUGGAGAAGAGGACGCAGCCGUGACUUGUGAGAUGGCGUCUGAGUCAGCUACUACUCACUAGGAGAUCAGAAACAUGGUGUCCUUGCAAAAGUGGAAAGAGGCCAGGCCUUGUCUUAUAGACAAAAUGUUAUCUACUCUGGAUCCACAGUCACACCGUGUGUGUCAGUGUGGCAAACAAGUAGUUGUGAGGUGUCUGGACUGCCUGCCUCUUCCAUUCCUUUGUGCUGACUGUGAUAUUGCAGUUCACACACGCUAUGUCCUGCACAACCAAGAGGCAGUAACAGGAGGGUUUUUGCAGCCUUCAUCAGAGUUUCACAAGCCAAUAGGUACGGUUUUUAAGUCCUAUGCAUUUCUUGCUAUGUUCUAUGAGUGGGUGCUGUUAUUGUAUAUUUAUUGUGUAUCAUUCGUUAAUUUCCAAUUCUUUUUAUAUAUAUUGUGUGUUUUUAAUGUUAGUUCGGCUGUUGCCUGUGCAAAGGCCAGACCAUGUGUGUGACUGCCCAGCAGGCUGUUAUAACCUUGCACUGCCAGUGGUGAGCUGCACCAGCUGUGACUUAAUGUGGUCCCCUCAGUUAAGGACAUCCUGGGUAGUGGAUAUUGGCCUGGCACCUUAAAUUUCUGCACCCUGUUUUCAAUGGAUGCCUUUCAGUCUUUCUAUGACAUUAAGAAGGCCGCACCAGGGAUGUCAUUUAAGGCAUUUGUCAAAAUGCUGGAUGAAAGAACAGCCCAUUUUUGAAGGACUGGCGAAUAUCAGCUGAUGCCUUCAGUAAAAGCUUUGUGGAGUGGAGUGCUGUUUGAGAUGGACAGGAUGUGCAAGGAGCCAUGCGUUAGCUGCCCUGCCUGCACUCCAGACGUGCUUGCCGUCUCAGUUGAUGGAAACUGGAAGCUUUAUCGCAUUCAAUCAAAUACAAGGUGGCUCAGCUGAGGAACCUCUUGUCAAUGCGUCCAUUUCUCUCCGUCAUGCAUGCAAAGGCUCUCAUUUGGAAAUGCGAGAUCAAAUGGGGAGGUGCGUUUCAGGAUGGGGCCGGUUCUACAGUUGGAAAAGAGGGCGAACAGACAUGCUGACCCUCCUGGCUUUGGGGUGGACCAAAAGGAAAGUGGAACAACU